AGAUAAAGGCGCAGGAAGGAACCGCGGCGUGGCUGGCGGGCGCUGCGCAUGCGCACCGCCUUUAGGACGCCUGAGGCUGUUUUGGCUAUCCUGGAUACCUUGCAUUUCCAUGUGAAUUUUAGGAUCAGCUUGACCAUUUCUGGAAAAAAAAAGGCCAUUGAAAUUUUAUAGUAAUUAUGCUGAAUAUAUCGAUCAAUUGAGAGGUGCUGUCCUGAUAAAAAUAUAUUGCAAAUGCCUAAGGUACAAGGCGAGAUAUUAAGGCUUCAGUUAAGACAACGACUUUUGAGAAGAGUGGAGAAUGAAAAUGGAAAUAGAGGAGACACUACUGAGGUUACGAGAGAGAGAGAGAGGAAAGUGAAAGCGGGAAAAGUUGCUAAUAAUACUGAUAUGCUCACCGUUGUUAAGCUUUAUUUCAAUUUUUUUCUUUAGAAAUAUGUAAAGAGAAAACAUAUUCUUGGUUCCUGAUAACGAUUGCCAAAUUACUUCUCAAAGAGCUUCUCAAUGACAUUGCUAUCAACAUGAAAUGAGAAUAAUGGAUUCCUGAAAAUAUUAGCAGCUUCUGUGUGUUACACAGCAUUUUCAUGAAUCUAAUAGAAUCAGUAAUGGUGUUACAGUAGGUAGUUGGUCACACAUGAUCAGGGCAAGAGAGGGCUCCUUGCAUCCCACCAGAAAUGUCAGCUGAACAUCAGAUGACGGUCAGGCAGUUGUUAGCGGUCUCUCUAAAAUAAUAGUUGGGCACAUCCAGCGCCAGGGAAAGGUAGUCUCCCAAUAGAUAGAAAAACCUGAAACUGGUGAUCAGCUUCCUGAUAAGGUCUCAGGAGUUGGGUGACUGGGCUCGAGCAUGAACACUAAGAGGAAAAAUGGCAAAGUUUAACUGGUGUAUGAAUUCCCCUAGGAACACUCAACUGGUAUGAGAAAAAUGCUUGAAGUGAGCACAUGCACAAUUCCAGUAAACACACUGAGCAUGCAGCCACUCCCAAGAGCUGGCAGGCCACUGCACAUACAAAUAGGCCACCCCAAGGGAAGAAUUGGGAGAAGGGAUGAAAGACCUCAGAAGUAUGCCAACAUGUAAAACUCCAAGUCAAAGAUCAAACAGGGCACUUGAUCUCUCAAGUUGCCUGCUUGGCCCUCUUCCAGAUGAGUAAUUCCAUCUCCAUACCAGAGGAUUUGCCCCUUGGAUUAUUCCCAAAAACUGGAAAAAGUUUGAUUCUCCUAAACCUUAAAAAAAAGCCAAAAACUAGUUUUACUUUGUAAUACUGUUUGACCUAAAAAUGAACUGGGUGAAAAUACAAACAUCAGCCUGAGACCCCAGUAACCUUAUGCAGGAAAUCCUCAAAUUAGCCUCUUCAGUCUUUUACAACUGAGAGCAGAAUAAAGAGGACAGAGGGAAAAAGAAGAACAAACACAAAGAUAAGAGGCAGGCUCAACUAUUGGCUGCUUUAUAAGCUCUCCAGUCCCCUCCAGGUCAUCCUAAGGACACUCCUCCAGGACUCUCAUGGCAACACAUAGUACAAACCAUGACUUCCUAACAGAAAGGGAAAUGACUUCUGUCUAAUUCAAAGAAUAUUAAGGUUUCUGAUUUGCAGAUUGUGACAUGAGAAUAGAGGAAAAACUUUCAGGACACUUAAGGAGAGCUGAAAUGCUCACGAAUAUUAAGCAGAGCAUAAGUCAACUGUAUGGACUGACCUAAUAGAAGACUGAAAUAAUUCUUCUAUUUACACCUUUUAACAAUUGA
rnacentral:lncRNA from 1 species